CCUUUACAUGUUGAAUGGGUUGCAGUAUAUCCUAGAUACAAUAUAUGUGUGCAGAACCGAACAGUUUUCUUGUUGCACAGGGAGAAUUGAAUUCAGAAGGUAAAAAUAACCCGGGAAGAAAAACAAAAAUGAUUAUUCAUUUCCCAGUAUUCUUUCUCUGGGUGUAGCUGCUUCUGUCCAUCUUUGAUCAAUUAAGGCUCUCUUUAUCGAAGAGAUCCACUUCCAUCAGAAUACAUCCUCAAACAGUAUCA